rnacentral:lncRNA from 1 species
CUCUUCUUCUCAAUGGUGGUAACCGUUCUCGCAAUGAAAGUCGAAAGCAUCCAUCCAUUGCAGGAGGAAGGAGCAUUGUUGUGUGUGAUGACCGAUGGAGAUUCGAGAGGUUUACGAACAGAAUGAGGAACCUGUAGUACCAUCAAUCAUUCCACCAUUAAUCCAACUCAACUCGGCUGGCUGUGGUUUAGGUGGAAUGCUAAGUGCCUUUUAGAAGUUGAUAUAAAG